UGCGUAGGCGGCCUAGUAAGUCAGAAGUGAAAGGCUACGGCUUAACCGUAGUAAGCUUUUGAAACUGCUUGGCUUGAGUGCAGGAGAGGAAAGCGGAAUUCCUAGUGUAGCGGUGAAAUGCGUAGAUAUUAGGAGGAACACCAGUGGCGAAGGCGACUUUCUGGACUGUAACUGACGCUGAGGCACGAAAGCGUGGGGAGCGAACA
rnacentral:rRNA from 1 species